rnacentral:rRNA from 1 species
CCGGACCCGACUGCUAUCGGAUUGAGACUAAGCCAUGCGAGUCAACCCGCAAGGGUGGCGGACGGCUCAGUAACACGUAGUGAACCUGCCCUGGGGACGUGGACAACCAUGGGAAACUGUGGCUAAACCGCGAUAGGUCAUUGUUUCUGGAAUGGGCAAUGGCUCAAACCUACAUGGCCUCAGGAUGGGCACUGCGGCCGAUCAGGUUGUUGGUGAGGUAAUGGCCCACCAAGCCUGUAACCGGUACGGGCUCUGAGAGGAGGAGCCUGGAGAUGGGGCACUGAGACAAGGGCCCAGGUCCUAUGGGACGCAGCAGGCGCGAAAACCUUCGCAAUAGGGCGAAAGCCUGGACGAGGUUAAUUCCGAGGGUUCCCUGGCUAAAGGGAUCUUUUGCCAGCUUCUAAAAAUGGCUGGUGAAAUAAGGGGUGGGCAAGGCCUGGGUGGCCACCCGCCGCGGUAAUUACCAGCACCCCCGAGUGGUCGGGAUGAUUAUUUGGGCCUAAAGCAUCCGGUAGCCGGCGGCAUCCAGGUCUUUCGGUUUAAUCCCCCUGCCUCAACAGAUGGGCUGCGGGAGAUACUGCUGCGCUAGAGGCGGGAGAGCGAGAGGUAUUCCAUGGGUAGGGGUAAAAUCCUCUGAUCAUGGAGGACCACCAGUGGCGAAGGCGUCUCGCCAGAACGCGCUCGACGGUGAGGGAUGAAAGCUGGGGGAGCAAACCGGAUUAGAUACCCGGGUAGUCCCAGCUGUAAACGAUGCAGGCUCGGUGAUGGACUGGCUUCGCGCCAGUCCAGUGCCCGCAGGGAAGCCGUUAAGCCUGCCGCCUGGGGAGUACGGUCGCAAGACUGAAACUUAAAGGAAUUGGCGGGGGAGCACCACAAGGGGUGAAGCCUGCGGUUCAAUUGGAGUCAACGCCGGGAACCUUACCGGGGGCGACAGCAGUGUGAAGGUCAGGUCGAAGACUUUACCAGACGAGCUGAGAGGAGGUGCAUGGCCGUCGCCAGCUCGUGCCGUGAGGUGUCCUGUUAAGUCAGGUAACGAGCGAGACCCCUACUUCUAGUUGCUACUAUUACUCGAAGGAGUAGUAGGGCGAAUUAGAAGGACUGCCGUUGUUAAAACGGAGGAAGGAGGGGGCUACGGCAGGUCAGUAUGCCCCGAAACCCCUGGGCUACACGCGGGCUGCAAUGAUAGGUACAAUGGGCUCCGACAUCGAAAGAUGGAGGCAAUCCCCAAACCCUACCCCAGUUGUGACUGAGGGCUGCAACCCGCCCUCACGAAUCUGGAAUCCCUAGUAAUCGCGUGUCACCACCGCGCGGUGAAUACGUCCCUGCUCCUUGCACACACC